GCCUUUGUAGCUUAAAUGGUAGAGCAAUCGCUUGAAGCGCGAUCUGUCUGAGUUCGAUUCUCAGCGUAGGCA